CAGCACAGAGCCCGGCGCGGGCUCGAACCCACGAACCCCGAGAGCAUGACCUGAGCCGAAGUCGGACGCUCCACCGGACUGAGCCACCCAGGCACCCCGGAAAGCAUUUUUUAAUGUAAGCAAUCUCUGGAUUAUGAAACGUGGAUUUUAAAAAUUCUUUACACUUCUGUGUGUUUUGCAGAUUUUCUUCCAAUGACUAUGAAUUACCUUUAUACUUUAAUAAAAGCCUUUUCCUUCUAAGAAACAAAAAGCCUGAUUCUGAUUUCAGCCAGAAAAUGGUCUAUGGCCUUUGUCUGGGCCGACUUAGACCCGGGCUGAAUUCUGCCUAAUUCUGCUUUCUGAAAUGCUGCUGCUCUGUCGUUCUUGGCAGUAAAAGACCCUCCAGGCACUUGAGCAGCAGCCUUGCAAUCAGAGUCGUGAUUGCUAAGAGCUUCAAGCUUUGUUUGCAAGAGAAGAAGUUCUGAUUCUUUUCUUUAAAAGUUCCUACUCGCACUGAUUAAUCUUAUUUUUCAUGAAGUUAGAAGUGCUCUUGUGAACUUCCGGUUGUGUGAUGUCUUCUUUUUUAACCCCGUAGGUGUUCCCGAAGGCUUUCGGUCUCUACAGAGUUGGUGGGAGCCCCAGACAGGUUAAGGGUGGCUGUUGAGGAGUAGUUCACGUUCUAGGUGCUGCUGUGCUUGAUCCAAGCACACUCUUCCCCUCAGCCUCCCUUCCUGGGGAACUACCUGGGCAUUUGGGUGUUGUGGUCUGAUGCUCUCCUGAGCCUGAAACCCUUUGGACCCAUCUUCGGCCUGAAUCCGUGGAGCCUGAAUCCAGCCUCGGGCCACCCAACUCUCCAUCUCCCUCUCCCUCAGUCUCAGCCUUGUUUGCAGGUCAGAGCCAAGCAGGCUCCCCUCAGACAUGUCCCAUGACCUUGCUUCUCAGGUAGGGGCCUUAGCUCCCUUCCUCGGCCUCCUUUAUCUUUAUUCCCUAAAUAUAGGACUUCUAGGUGCUUAAGGACAUAGUUCUGCCCAAUCCAGCCCAGUCCUGGGCUGCUUUCUCUCUCCUCCAGAAAUGGAUCUGCAACCCGCGGCAGUGAACCCACAGAUCCACAGGCCCCACCCUAAUGUAAAGUCCUUGAAGUUCCGGUAACAAUGGAGUGUCACUCUGCCUGGUGGUAGAAUGUCCCCAAGAGAGUAGCACACCAGCCUCUGAGUGGAGGGCUGACCCUUGCCCGUGUUCAGCUUAGGCCAGACUUCAAGUGCUUGGCCUGGGCCCAGAGGCACCAGCCAUCCCUGCAGCCCCUCCCCCGGGGGAGUAAUACCUACCUCCCCGGAUUUCUUUGGGACCACCACUGGCUACACUGUCUUCUGGUGAAACAAAAUCUUGGCAUCCUGGUUCCUUACAUAAUGGGGCCGGCAUUCCCACGUAUGCAAUUCCGUAGCCACUUCUGAGAGGCUCAUAGGACGCCCAGCUGUGAUAGAAAGGAUAUAUUGAUGUCCCUUCCUGGGGAGAUCCAAGACUUCCUUUACCCAUUGCGAUCCCACCCCAGGGCGUUCACAUGCCAUGUUCUGCUUCUGUCCUGGGGUUUACACAGAACGAUGCCCUGCCAUAGAUCCAGUUCCAAGAGGACUCAGAGAUGCUAACCUAAAUCUCAGAAUGGUCUGCCGCUGGUGAAGGAGUCACUGCUGAGAGGUACCUGUGUCAGGCUGGGCACAAGGGACAGCUAGAGACCCUGCGCCCCGCGGAAAGGCCCAGGGGCACAGGACUUGCCUGAGACUGAGGCUGGACCAGGAGAGUCAAGGACCGCAACCUGCCGCCCAUCACAGCCUAGCAACAAGCAGCAAGCAGUCUGUUGUUGAGGAGGAGACAAGACGGUGGAGAGAAACUCCACUCGAUGGUAAAACAGAAGGAAGAAACAUUUCCUAACUCAUGUUGUUAGGCCAUCAUUGCCUUGAUAACAGAACUGGACAAAGACAUUACAAGAAAAGAAAACUAAAUGCCAAUAGCUUUCGCGAAGAUAGUCACAAACAUUCUUAACGCUGUGGGGUUUCUAAUAUUAUCUCAAAGUGAACUGUGGGAACCAGUGAUCCUCCAAGGUAGGCAACAGGGGCCAGGACAGUACUAUCCGGUUGACUCUGUCCGGGGACAAUCCGCGUUUGAUUUCUGCUGCACCGUUGGUGGUGAAGACUCCUGCUUUCUAUACGGCUGGUACCAACAUGGCGAAGAGAAAGAAUGAACUCGCAGGCAUGGGAGAAUGAGACUCCCCAGGAGUGCUCUGAGCAGACCUGGAUUCCCACAGAGCACAGCAGAGCCCUGCCCAGUGGCCCAUGGGAUAAACCACAGGCUGCGAUUUUUCAUGAUGGGGAAAGAGGGAAGAAGAAAGAAAAGUCUGUGCAUUCUUUUAACUGCUGUGGCUGAUAAGGGAUUUUAAAAGAAGUUUCAUAUCUGGGUUUCACAAUUUGUCCUGGCAUUUACUGCUUGUUCAGAUGCUCUCUGCUCCUUAUCUGGACUGUAGAGAUGGCUUCCAAGUCAGUGUCUCUUUUUUCAGGAUCCUGAUUUUCCUCCAGUCCUUCUCUUGACAGUGAAAGACUUCAGUCCUGACCCCACCCUUCCUUAAGUCAUAAAAGUCAUGUUUGUUGACACGAUGGAAGUGGAAAGUAACAACUUAGAGCACCCCUCUAGCUACCCCCACACAGACCCAUUUCUCUCUUCACUUGCAUUUAGGGGUCAGGCAGGAAACAAUUUAGAGAAGCAAAGGGUGGAAGAGAAUCGAGAGUUAAGAGGACUGUAGGGGAGCCCUUCCUAAGGCAUUCAAAUUGAAAUUUUAAACAAAACAACCCAAUAAACAAAUCUCCCUGUGGACCAAAUUUGUCCCUAAUCUGCCAGUUUGUCACAUCUAGAUCUUUCCAGGCAUUUCUAAUCCAUAUAUACAAAUAUAUCCAUAUUGUAAAUAUAUAUAUAUUUAGAUACAUAAUACAUGGAUGUUUUCAUAUAAGUAGGAUUAUAAUAGACAUACGGUUUGAACCUUGCUUUUCAUGUACAUCGAGAAGCUUUAGGUAUUAGAUAGCCUCGUAAGUUGCACCUAUAGAUGGACAUUUAGCUCGUUUUCAGUUGAAAAAAUUUUCCCCAAAUAAUGCACCAUUGUUCAUCCUUGAACACAUGUCAAGGAAUAUACACAUAGGAUAAAUUUGGCAAAGUGGAAUUGCUGGGUCAAUUUCGAUAGCUGUUGCCAAAAUG